rnacentral:rRNA from 1 species
CCUACGGGAGGCAGCAGUAGGGAAUAUUGCUCAAUGGGGGAAACCCUGAAGCAGCAACGCCGCGUGGAGGAUGAAGGUUUUCGGAUUGUAAACUCCUUUUGUUAGAGAAGAUAAUGACGGUAUCUAACGAAUAAGCACCGGCUAACUCCGUGCCAGCAGCCGCGGUAAUACGGAGGGUGCAAGCGUUACUCGGAAUCACUGGGCGUAAAGAGCGCGUAGGCGGGAUGGCAAGUCAGAUGUGAAAUCCUAUGGCUUAACCAUAGAACUGCAUUGGAAACUGUUAUUCUAGAGUAUGGGAGAGUUAGGUGGAAUUCUUGGUGUAGGGGUAAAUCCGUAGAGAUCAAGAGGAAUACUCAUUGCGAAGGCGACCUGCUAGAACAUAACUGACGCUGAUGCGCGAAAGCGUGGGGAGCGAACAGGAUUAGAUACCCCAGUAGUC